rnacentral:rRNA from 1 species
GGCGGCGCGCCUAACACAUGCAAGUCGAACGCGAAAGUGGGCAACCAUUAGUANAGUGGCGCACGGGUGAGUAACACGUAGGUAAUCUGCCCCUGUGACCGGAAUAACCAGUCGAAAGAUUGGCUAAUACUGGAUAGAGCGCAGGAAACAUAAAGUUNCUUGCGGAAAAGGGGGGCUGUAACAAUACAGCUCUUGCACUGAGAUGAGCCUGCGUCCCAUNAGCUAGUUGGUGAGGUAACGGCUCACCAAGGCUUUGAUGGGUANCUGGUCUGAGAGGACGAUCAGCCACACUGGAACUGACACACGGUCCAGACUCCUACGGGAGGCAGCAGUGGGGAAUCUUGCGCAAUGGGGGAAACCCUGACGCAGCGACGCCGCGUGGGUGAAGAAGGCCUUCGGGUUGUAAAGCCCUGUCGAAAGGGAAAAAUGUCUUCCGCGCUAAUACCACGGGAGAGUGAUUGUNCCUUUAGAGGAAGCACCGGCUAACUCUGUGCCAGCAGCCGCGGUAAUACAGAAGGUGCAAGCGUUGUUCGGAAUUAUUGGGCGUAAAGGGCACGUAGGUGGUCUUGUAA